rnacentral:tRNA from 1 species
GCCCCGGUAGCUCAGCCGGUCAGAGCGAACGCCUCGUAAGCGUUAGGUCGCGGGUUCGAGUCCCGCCCGGGGCU